UCUUCCUCCAACUCUCAGAAUCCCAGCAUCAAUGAUAGAGUCCAGCUUGUAUAGGGAGCUUCCUCUAUUGCACUGUUUGGCUUUUUCCAGCAAGGCAAAAUCCUCUUUGAAAUGCUGUCUCUGCUCGUGGCAAAUAAUGGCCUUUUCAGCAUUUUCCGUGUCCUCUACUGAAAGUCUUAGUGCAUUAGCUGUAGGCCUUUUGAGCAGAAGCAUCUGAUCCUUCAGUCGCUUUCCUUUAUCCUGCUUUACUCCAAGAUCAGUGGAGCAAUCUUUCCUCUUUUCUCUCCUCUGCAGGAGCUUUCGGUCAUCAGCUGACAUUUGUCUUUCCUCUUCAUACUCGUUUUCUGGAAAGUCAUUAAUAUAUUGUCUUUCAUUAAGCUUCUCAAGGUGAACAAUUGAGGUCCUGUUCACUACUGCCACAGGGGUUUCAUCAUCCGGAUCUGUGGAAGCAUUAGGUGGACCAUUAACGACCCAUCCUAACAGUGUUUUCACUGCAUAUGGGCCGUUUCCUUGGAUAAGGCCAUUUCUUGAGGUCCGCCUGGAAGGACUUCAGUUCUCCGUCCUCUAGCACCAAGCUGCCUCAUGAGCCCCUCUGUGCAAAAUGUGUCGGUACUACCAGGGUCCAGGAAUGCAUAGGUCAGUAUACUUUUAUUUCCAUGUCAGAGUUUCACCUUCACUGGCACUAUGGCAAGUAUGCUGUCUUUACCAGCCCCGAUUCCUUCACCUUCUCCUACUGAAACAAGAGCACUGCUGAUGGAUGUCUCUUCAGGCCUUGCUCCUCCACUCUUCUGCUCUGUCUUAUCAUGUUUAAAGUUCUCAGUUUCAGGCUUAGAAGAUCUUUUAAUGUGCAGAAUAGUUGGGUGUCUAGCAUGACAGAUUUGACAGGUCAUUCUCCUGUUACAGUUCCUGCUCAAGUGCCCCACCUUCAGGCAGCCAAAGCAUAGUCCUUUCUCUUUCAGAAACUCAAUUUUAGCUUCAUGAGAUAUUGAAUGUAUUGUAUGGCAUUCAGCUAAAGGAUGCAUGCUGGUACAAAAGGUACAUGAGGUGUCAUUGUUAGUGGAGGAAAUGUAGCUUUUAACAAGAUAAUUGUCUUCUUUGGGUUUCUCUGCAUGGCUGUCUGACACUAUAGC